rnacentral:rRNA from 1 species
GACGAACGCUGGCGGCGUGCUUAACACAUGCAAGUCGAGCGGUAAGGCCCUUUCGGGGGUACACGAGUGGCGAACGGGUGAGUAACACGUGGGUGACCUGCCCUCAGCUCUGGGAUAAGCCUGGGAAACCGGGUCUAAUACUGGAUAUGACUCCAUGACGCAUGUUGUGGGGUGGAAAGCCUUGUGCGGCUGAGGAUGGGCCCGCGGCCUAUCAGCUUGUU